AUUGAACGCUGGCGGCAGGCCUAACACAUGCAAGUCGAGCGAGCGGCGGACGGGUGAGUAAUGUCUGGGAAACUGCCUGCUGGAGGGGGCUAACUACUGGAAACGGUAGCUAAUACCGCAUACCAUCAGAUGUGCCCAGAUGGGAUUAGCUAGUAGGUGGGGUAACGGCUCACCUGGGCGACGUUCCCUAGCUGGUCUGAGAGGAUGACCAGCCACACUGGAACUCAGACAAGGUCCAGACUCCGACGGGAGGCAGCAGUGGGGAAUAUUGCAAAAUGGGCGCAAGCCUGCUGCAGCCAUGCCGCGUGUAUGAAGAGGGCCUUCGGGUUGUAAAGUACUUUCAGCGGGAAGGCGUUACCCGCAGAAGAAGCACCGGCUAACUCCGUGCCAGCAGCCGCGGUAAUAC
rnacentral:rRNA from 1 species